rnacentral:tRNA from 1 species
UCCCUGGUGGUCCAGUGGCUAAGACUCCACACUCCCAGUGCAGGGACCCAGGUUCAAUUCCUGGUCAGGGAA